GGGCGGGUGGCCUAAUGGAGAAGGCGUUCGACUUCGGUUCACGGGCACCGCUUCUGGCGAUGUGUUUGUGGAGCAGUUAUCGAAAGAUUGUGGGUUCGAGUCCCAUCCUGCUCG